GACAGAGGGUGCAAACGUUGCUCGGAUUGACUGGGCGUAAAGCGCGUGUAGGUGGUCUCGCCAGUCAGGUGUGAAAGCCCAGGGCUCAACCCUGGAAGUGCACCUGAUACUACGAGGCUUGAGUUCUGUAGAGGAGAGCGGAAUUCCCGGUGUAGAGGUGAAAUUCGUAGAUAUCGGGAGGAACACCAGUGGCGAAGGCGGCUCUCUGGACAGGUACUGACACUGAGACGCGAAAGCGUGGGUAGCAAACAGG
rnacentral:rRNA from 1 species